rnacentral:rRNA from 1 species
AGAGGCGAUGAAGGACGUGCUAAUCUGCGAUAAGCGUCGGUAAGGUGAUAUGAACCGUUAUAACCGGCGAUUUCCGAAUGGGGAAACCCAGUGUGAUUCGUCACACUAUCAUUAACUGAAUCCAUAGGUUAAUGAGGCGAACCGGGGGAACUGAAACAUCUAAGUACCCCGAGGAAAAGAAAUCAACCGAGAUUCCCCCAGUAGCGGCGAGCGAACGGGGAGGAGCCCAGAGCCUGAAUCAGUGUGUGUGUUAGUGGAAGCGUCUGGAAAGGCGCGCGAUACAGGGUGACAGCCCCGUACACAAAAAUGCACAUACUGUGAGCUCGAUGAGUAGGGCGGGACACGUGGUAUCCUGUCUGAAUAUGGGGGGACCAUCCUCCAAGGCUAAAUACUCCUGACUGACCGAUAGUGAACCAGUACCGUGAGGGAAAGGCGAAAAGAACCCCGGCGAGGGGAGUGAAAAAGAACCUGAAACCGUGUACGUACAAGCAGUGGGAGCACAGAGCAAUCUGUGUGACUGCGUACCUUUUGUAUAAUGGGUCAGCGACUUAUAUUCUGUAGCAAGGUUAACCGAAUAGGGGAGCCGAAGGGAAACCGAGUCUUAACUGGGCGUUAAGUUGCAGGGUAUAGACCCGAAACCCGGUGAUCUAGCCAUGGGCAGGUUGAAGGUUGGGUAACACUAACUGGAGGACCGAACCGACUAAUGUUGAAAAAUUAGCGGAUGACUUGUGGCUGGGGGUGAAAGGCCAAUCAAACCGGGAGAUAGCUGGUUCUCCCCGAAAGCUAUUUAGGUAGCGCCUCGUGAAUUCAUCUCCGGGGGUAGAGCACUGUUUCGGCAAGGGGGUCAUCCCGACUUACCAACCCGAUGCAAACUGCGAAUACCGGAGAAUGUUAUCACGGGAGACACACGGCGGGUGCUAACGUCCGUCGUGAAGAGGGAAACAACCCAGACCGCCAGCUAAGGUCCCAAAGUCAUGGUUAAGUGGGAAACGAUGUGGGAAGGCCCAGACAGCCAGGAUGUUGGCUUAGAAGCAGCCAUCAUUUAAAGAAAGCGUAAUAGCUCACUGGUCGAGUCGGCCUGCGCGGAAGAUGUAACGGGGCUAAACCAUGCACCGAAGCUGCGGCAGCGACGCUGAUGCGUUGUUGGGUAGGGGAGCGUUCUGUAAGCCUGUGAAGGUGUGCUGUGAGGCAUGCUGGAGGUAUCAGAAGUGCGAAUGCUGACAUAAGUAACGAUAAAGCGGGUGAAAAGCCCGCUCGCCGGAAGACCAAGGGUUCCUGUCCAACGUUAAUCGGGGCAGGGUGAGUCGACCCCUAAGGCGAGGCCGAAAGGCGUAGUCGAUGGGAAACAGGUUAAUAUUCCUGUACUUGGUGUUACUGCGAAGGGGGGACGGAGAAGGCUAUGUUGGCCGGGCGACGGUUGUCCCGGUUUAAGCGUGUAGGCUGGUUUUCCAGGCAAAUCCGGAAAAUCAAGGCUGAGGCGUGAUGACGAGGCACUACGGUGCUGAAGCAACAAAUGCCCUGCUUCCAGGAAAAGCCUCUAAGCAUCAGGUAACAUCAAAUCGUACCCCAAACCGACACAGGUGGUCAGGUAGAGAAUACCAAGGCGCUUGAGAGAACUCGGGUGAAGGAACUAGGCAAAAUGGUGCCGUAACUUCGGGAGAAGGCACGCUGAUAUGUAGGUGAAGUCCCUCGCGGAUGGAGCUGAAAUCAGUCGAAGAUACCAGCUGGCUGCAACUGUUUAUUAAAAACACAGCACUGUGCAAACACGAAAGUGGACGUAUACGGUGUGACGCCUGCCCGGUGCCGGAAGGUUAAUUGAUGGGGUCAGCGCAAGCGAAGCUCUUGAUCGAAGCCCCGGUAAACGGCGGCCGUAACUAUAACGGUCCUAAGGUAGCGAAAUUCCUUGUCGGGUAAGUUCCGACCUGCACGAAUGGCGUAAUGAUGGCCAGGCUGUCUCCACCCGAGACUCAGUGAAAUUGAACUCGCUGUGAAGAUGCAGUGUACCCGCGGCAAGACGGAAAGACCCCGUGAACCUUUACUAUAGCUUGACACUGAACAUUGAGCCUUGAUGUGUAGGAUAGGUGGGAGGCUUUGAAGUGUGGACGCCAGUCUGCAUGGAGCCGACCUUGAAAUACCACCCUUUAAUGUUUGAUGUUCUAACGUUGACCCGUGAUCCGGGUUGCGGACAGUGUCUGGUGGGUAGUUUGACUGGGGCGGUCUCCUCCUAAAGAGUAACGGAGGAGCACGAAGGUUGGCUAAUCCUGGUCGGACAUCAGGAGGUUAGUGCAAUGGCAUAAGCCAGCUUGACUGCGAGCGUGACGGCGCGAGCAGGUGCGAAAGCAGGUCAUAGUGAUCCGGUGGUUCUGAAUGGAAGGGCCAUCGCUCAACGGAUAAAAGGUACUCCGGGGAUAACAGGCUGAUACCGCCCAAGAGUUCAUAUCGACGGCGGUGUUUGGCACCUCGAUGUCGGCUCAUCACAUCCUGGGGCUGAAGUAGGUCCCAAGGGUAUGGCUGUUCGCCAUUUAAAGUGGUACGCGAGCUGGGUUUAGAACGUCGUGAGACAGUUCGGUCCCUAUCUGCCGUGGGCGCUGGAGAACUGAGGGGGGCUGCUCCUAGUACGAGAGGACCGGAGUGGACGCAUCACUGGUGUUCGGGUUGUCAUGCCAAUGGCACUGCCCGGUAGCUAAAUGCGGAAGAGAUAAGUGCUGAAAGCAUCUAAGCACGAAACUUGCCCCGAGAUGAGU